GGUCAGUGAUGAAUUGUAAAAGGUCUGACUGCCUUAAAGUUCUCCCAUGUCCAUAUUAUCUCCCAGCAGCCUCUCUGUUUUUCCAUCUGGCUCCAGUUGUGCUUUGAUUGGUUACUUAAGCUGCUGACAGGUUUUGAUACUGAAUCCUGCAUUUCCAAAAGAAUGGGAAAGUGCAGCAAGCAGUAUUGUACAUGAUUACGUAAUACAGGAGAGCAGGGAUGAGGGUAGAACUCUGUGCAGUGCAUGAUAAUAAGCUAUAUACUGAGACC
ensembl:scaRNA